rnacentral:sRNA from 1 species
UCAGCGGUCAGCCCUGCAAAUUCCCCCCUUUGAAGGGAUAACAUCCCUCUUCGCUCCGCUCUUCCCCCCUUUGAAGGGGGGCGGAUGUCCCUCUGCAUUCGGAUACCGUGUACCCGGCAUAACAAUUAACCAUUAAUUUGUCAUUCAGAGCGAAGCGAAGAAUCUCUUCCUUUUACUCCGCGAGAUUCCUCACUACGUUCGGAAUGACAAGAGGAGGUGUUCGGAAUGACAAAGGGGGUUAUUUGCGUUGAUUCGCGCCAUUUGCGAAAUUCGCGUUCGGAUAACCACGCAUAACAAUUAACCAUUGACAAUUAACCAUUAAUUUGUCAUUCAGAGCGAAGCGAAGAAUCUCUUUCCUUUUCAUGGCGAUAUUCCUCACUCCGUUCGGAAUGACAAAGGGGGGUAUUCGCGUCCAUUUGCGAGAUUCGCGUUCGGAUAACCCUGCAUAACAAUUAACAAUUGACCAUUAACAAUUGAAUUAUGUCAGGCUUUCAGCCCUCUGAACAAGGUCUGGGAAUCGAUAUCCCACCCUUACGGGAUGGGGCUGAAAUAUAUCGGGCUUUCAGCCCUUGUGCCCUGUGCGGGCUAAUCUCUUCGGGGCGUUGAAUAUGGACAUCCCUCCAGCCCCCCUUCAAAAGGGGGAAUGCAGGGGCUGAACGCUGACUGCUUUAAAAGCCCUGAAAGGGCGCAUUAAUUCAGCCCAAUGUGGAGCGAAGCGAAGCGUUGGGAAAACAGGAUGUACCCCGAUAAGAGGGCCGUCGGCUCACCGCCCGAGGCCCAAGGACGAACGCCGAAGCGUUCGGAAGAUUUGCUCUUUUCUUCCGAAUAAGCCUGCCUAACCGGAUACCUCGCGGCAAAAAAAUGUCAUCAGGAUGGAAAUACAUAUUUUUCGCUCGAAAGCUUGGAGAAUGUUCAAAAAAAGAAUACUUUUGAAGCCCGAAAUAAAAACCAUCCGAUGAAGAAGUGCGGAUUCACGUUACA